rnacentral:rRNA from 1 species
GCAAGUCGAACGGUAGCACAGAGGAGCUUGCUCCUUGGGUGACGAGUGGCGGACGGGUGAGUAAUGUCUGGGAAACUGCCCGAUGGAGGGGGAUAACUACUGGAAACGGUAGCUAAUACCGCAUAACGUCGCAAGACCAAAGAGGGGGACCUUCGGGCCUCUUGCCAUCGGAUGUGCCCAGAUGGGAUUAGCUAGUAGGUGGGGUAACGGCUCACCUAGGCGACGAUCCCUAGCUGGUCUGAGAGGAUGACCAGCCACACUGGAACUGAGACACGGUCCAGACUCCUACGGGAGGCAGCAGUGGGGAAUAUUGCACAAUGGGCGCAAGCCUGAUGCAGCCAUGCCGCGUGUAUGAAGAAGGCCUUCGGGUUGUAAAGUACUUUCAGCGAGGAGGAAGGCGUUGUGGUUAAUAACCGCAGUGAUUGACGUUACUCGCAGAAGAAGCACCGGCUAACUCCGUGCCAGCAGCCGCGGUAAUACGGAGGGUGCAAGCGUUAAUCGGAAUUACUGGGCGUAAAGCGCACGCAGGCGGUCUGUCA